rnacentral:rRNA from 1 species
UUUCAACCCCCAUCUCCCUGAUUCCGUUUGUACAUGUCUUCUCGCAAGGGAAGAGUAGUGCAGAUAGUCUCAGGCAACAAACAAACCUUAUUAACAAAUUUCACCCCCUUUUUGCUAGUUGACUUUUAUAUGUUGUCACUUCGGAUCAGUUGCUUCGGCAAUCGGCUCAUCGUGUACACACGUUUAUCUAUUUGAACGUUAAAAUUACAACUCUUAGCAAUGGAUAUCUUGGUUCUCGCAACGAUGAAGAACGCAGCGAAAUGCGAUACGUAAUGCGAAUUGCAGAAUUCAGUGAAUCAUCAAAUCUUUGAACGCAAAUUGCGCUCUUGGGUAGCCCUAGGAGCACGCCUCUCUCAGUAUCGGUUCAACAACCUCUCAGCAGCGUAGAUCUCACGAUUUACGUGUUGGCUGGAUAAUGAGAGUCUGAAUUUUACUAGUUCAGUCUCUUGAAAUACAUCGAGUAAGUAUCAUCACAUGCCUACGCAUCAUAGAUCUUCGGGUCUAUAGCCAAGUCUCUGACUGGUCUGCACGGUAGUAAGUGACGUGAAUACUGAGCCUUGUGCUCUCACAUUUACGUGUAACUUUGAUCGGGUGACUAUAAUAAAGGUCUAGGACGAGGUGUCGUUUUGGGAGCAGGUGUACUUAUGUUAAGCGGCGCAAGCUGCAAUCGGCUGAAGC